rnacentral:tRNA from 1 species
AAGGGGAGACCUAAUUCAGGUAGGAGACGAAAAAAAAGUAGUCGCUACCAAGAAUCAAUCCCAAAAGGUCGGAGCGAGGCGAAAUUGGCUUUCAAACUAGGUUCUGGGUUCAAACAAGACCUGAAUCAGGAACAAGGGCUAUUAGCUCAGGUGGUUAGAGCGCACCCCUGAUAAGGGUGAGGUCCCUGGUUCGAGUCCAGGAUGGCCCACCUGUACAGGUGGCAAAAAGAAAGAAAAGAAGCGAGGAAUCAGCACCUUAUCUUACUGACAUAGUAAGAGAGAAUGCUGGCUCUGAGUAAAGAGUCCAGAGGAACCUUGAAAACUGCAUAGAGCUAGGUGAAAAAGCCAAAAAAGAAGACCGCAAG